ACGCUGGCGGCAGGCUUAACACAUGCAAGUCGAACGGUAGCAGGAGAAAGCUUGCUUUCUUGCUGACGAGUGGCGGACGGGUGAGUAAUGCUUGGGAAUCUGGUUUAUGGAGGGGGAUAACUACGGGAAACUGUAGCUAAUACCGCGUAGAAUCGGAAGAUGAAAGUGCGGGACCGCAAGGCCGCAUGCCAUGAGAUGAGCCCAAGUGGGAUUAGGUAGUUGGUGGGGUAAAGGCCUACCAAGCCUGCGAUCUCUAGCUGGUCUGAGAGGAUGGCCAGCCACACUGGAACUGAGACACGGUCCAGACUCCUACGGGAGGCAGCAGUGGGGAAUAUUGCGCAAUGGGGGGAACCCUGACGCAGCCAUGCCGCGUGAAUGAAGAAGGCCUUCGGGUUGUAAAGUUCUUUCGGUAUUGAGGAAGGUUGAUGUGUUAAUAGUACAUCAAAUUGACGUUAAAUACAGAAGAAGCACCGGCUAACUCCGUGCCAGCAGCCGCGGUAAUACGGAGGGUGCGAGCGUUAAUCGGAAUAACUGGGCGUAAAGGGCACGCAGGCGGUUAUUUAAGUGAGGUGUGAAAGCCCCGGGCUUAACCUGGGAAUUGCAUUUCAGACUGGGUAACUAGAGUACUUUAGGGAGGGGUAGAAUUCCACGUGUAGCGGUGAAAUGCGUAGAGAUGUGGAGGAAUACCGAGGGCGAAGGCAGCCCCUUGGGAAUGUACUGACGCUCAUGUGCGAAAGCGUGGGGAGCAAACAGGAUUAGAUACCCUGGUAGUCCACGCUGUAAACGCUGUCGAUUUGGGGAUUGGGCUUAGAGCUUGGUGCCCGUAGCUAACGUGAUAAAUCGACCGCCUGGGGAGUACGGCCGCAAGGUUAAAACUCAAAUGAAUUGACGGGGGCCCGCACAA
rnacentral:rRNA from 1 species